rnacentral:rRNA from 1 species
UACGGGGGGGGCAAGCGUUGUUCGGAAUUACUGGGCGUAAAGGGCGUGUAGGUGGCCAACUAAGUCAGACGUGAAAUCCCUCGGCUUAACCGGGGAACUGCUUCUGAUACUGGAUGGCUGGAGUGUGGGAGAGGGAUGCGGAAUUCUCGGUGUAGAGGUGAAAUUCGUAGAUAUCGAGAGGAACACCGGUGGCGAAGGCGGGUCUCUGGGCAGUAACUGACGCUGAGGAGCGAAAGCGUGGGGAGCGAACAGG